rnacentral:rRNA from 1 species
CGAUGAAGGACGCAGCGAAUCGCGAUAAGUAAUGUGAAUUGCAGAUUUUCCGUGAAUCAUCGAAUCUUUGAACGCACCUUGCGCUCCUUGGUAUUCCGAGGAGCAUGCCUGUUUGAGUGUCAUUGAAAAUCUCAAGCCGAGCUGUUUUGACUUUGGUUGAAAAAG